AACUUAGAUGUAUUUGCUUCAUCUAUCCUUUUUUCCUUUUCCACUGUAAUACUUUAAAGCCAAUCUCGGGCAUUAUGUUACUUCAUCUUAACAGUAAUUGAAGCCAUUCUCAAAAGUUUUUGUUAGCAGAAACUGCUGGUAGAAGUCAGGUUGAUUAGAAGAUUCUGCAUUAAGUAUCUGUAACCCUAUGUUAAACUCUUAGAAUAAAGUAUAUGCGUGGAGGAAAUGUCUCUGUGCUUGGGAUCUACUACAUCUUUGUGACUUCAGUCUUGUUCAGUUAGAGACAAAGGAAUCAAAAGCUACAUAGCUCCUUGAGACCCAUGUUUAAUCCCUGUUUAUCCUUAGUCUCCUCCCUCAUGUUGGAAAACUUGAGAGACAGAAUUUUCUUUUUUUUUUAAAAAAUAUUUUAUUUAUUUAUUUGACAGAGAGAGAGAGAGCAUGAGCAGAGGGAGAAGCAGGCAGAGGGAGAAGCAGGCUCCAUCCCAGGACCCUGGGACCAUGACCUGAGCUGAAGACAGACACUUAACAAAUGAGCCACCCAGGCGCCCCGAGAGACAGAAUUUUCAUUGCCUCUUUUCAGUAAUAUACUUGAAUGUUUUAACACAUGGAAAAUGACUUGGUAAUAUUUUUGUCCAUGUAAUGAUCAAAGUGAAUAUGACAAUGAAUGCAUUAUUUACUAAAUUAAAAAGCAAUGUGGAUAUUUGGUUUUUGUUUUCUUUAAAAAGCUUGAUAAUUUAGAACUUCCAAAAUCCUACAUUAGGCUUAUGCUGAAUAAUUUUGCCUUCUUAAGUUUCUUUUCAUGAAACUGAUACCUUCGACUUGUUGUUUAGCUUGGCCAGAUGCUCUUCAUGUGAGUGUGUAUAUCCUGGCUCACACACUGGAAUGAUGAGAUAUGAAUUCAUUUGGAUCACAUUAUAAUUAAUUGCAGGCUUUCUCUACUGUCCUUUUGAAUUUUCUAAUUAAAUUUAUUUUACUUUUUGCUCUGAUGUGGUUAACCUCAGUUUCUUUGAAUUUAGCUUAUUUAACACACAACUGAGGACAUUAUAAAAUUUAAAAUGGCUUGUUUAGAGAAGUGUUCCCUAGAAAGGUUCUGGAUGAAAAUAUGGUAUGCUCAUACUAGGCCAAAAAGAACAAAGAAAUGUUCUCUGACAUUUGAUACCUAUGGAUAAUUGUCCAGCAUGAGUUGUAAUCACAUCCAAAAAAUGUAUUGCAAUAAAGAAUAAAUUCACCCACAAAAAGGGACUGUAUUAAAGGGAAAUACUCAUUUAUGUUUUACAAUAUCUAUUUUGGCAUUUGUUUCCAUAAAUGAUUGAGUAAACUACCACAUCAGUGGUUUGGAGGAGUCAAAGAUGUGUAAAAUUUCAUUCAUAUUAUAAAAGAACCUUAAUCUAGUAAUGAACUAUGUAUGUAGUUAACUAUAUUGCAAGGGAUCAUUAGAGAAAACAAAACCCCUUCUAGCUGGGGUCCCCAGGGAGGGCUGGUAAAGGAAAUGUGGGGUAAAGCAGCAAGGACCCAUUUACAGGCUCCUCCUAAGAACUGUCCUAAUUUUUAGAUAUUUGAUAGUUUCACUGUCAUAUGGGAUCAUUUAAAGUAUAAAUGCUUUUAUUUUGGCAAUUAUGUAUUAUUGUAAGUAUUAUAAAUAUAUUUUUUUUCUAAGAAAUUUUAUGGGAAGUAUUUAACUGCCUCUGGAUAUUAUUUAUUAUUCUCUUUGUAUUUUUAACACUACAUUAUUCAUUUCUAUGAACCUUGGAUAGCAAAGCACAAUUGCUUAAUAUGGGAAAUAAGUAAUAACAUAUUGGGCCAUACAAAUAGAUUCCAUAAAACUUUCUCUCCAAAGACUUGACUUACUUAAAUACCAGGAUACAAAAUGUCAAAUGUUUGAGCUCAUUGAUAAAAGCAGAAAAUACUGAUGUUGCAUGUUCUCUUUACAAAGCACUGAUCUUACUGCUUUUUAGAAUCUGGUGGUGGCUGUUUGUUUUCUUAUCCCAAUUUGAAUGUCCAAAACAAAAGCCAGACCUAGUUGACACUUAAACAAUAGAAUGUUACAUUAGUUUGUGAUCCAAAGUGAAAUGUGCACAGGCAGCCUGGCUGGCCCGUUUCACAGUUGACUGCCGACUUCACUUCAGAUUACAUAAACAUGUAUUGCAAAACAGCUCUGACGGGAACCUCAUAACCUAAACAGCAUUCUCUGAAAUGUAACUUGUCUUUUUAUAUAAAAGGAAAAAUUAAAUCAAAAUUAUUUUGAAGAAAAACAACUCCAGGAUUUUGUUCAAUUGAAUUUUACCAGGAAAUGCUAUUGCCUAGUAGCACUGACCUUGGGGCAGAGAGAAGCUGAAGUCACGUAUUUUGGAGGGUCAGACUUCUCUAGUGACUUCACGUGUGUCACAUCAAGUCAAUCAAGUGACUGGAGCAUCUAUUACCUUAGGCCACAAGGAGCCCUCCUUUAGUAUUCCAUCCUGGAGAAAGGUAUGUGCUGGGUUAUGUUCACCAAGAUCUAAAAUGAUCACCCCUUUUGAACAAUAAACUGUUGUGAUCUCGCCCUGCAAGAACCUUACAAAAUGAAGGUGGCAUUUCAGGAUGUCUAGAAAAAAUCAUGGAAAAGAAAUUUUGCAGAAAUAAAUCUACAUUCAACCCAUGAAAUUAAAGAGCAACCUACAAACAACCUUUGGAACAGCAACCUUGCCCACAAGUGAGAGAUGAAGACUAUUGGCUGCCCAUGGAAAAAGAAGAUGUGGCUCUUUGAGGGAAGAAGACCCUUCCUCUUUCCUUCAGUGGCUGAGACCAUUGAGCUGAAGUCGACUUCUCUGCAGUCUUAAGUUAUUCCAGACGGUGGAUUGAAUGAUUUUCUCGCCUUACCUUCCUCAGAUGUGGAGGCCCGGCAGCGGCCGUGGCUGGCACGGUGCACAUGACAACCAAAGUCUGCUGCAGAAGUUUUCUUGGCGUAUGAAAAUUUGCCCACAAGAGAGUUUACUGGAAAUGGAAUCCUCAAGACCUGUUUGGGAAGUGGAAUUGUUGGAUCAAAGGACAUUGUGCAUCCAUCCAAAAAUAUGAAAUCUUCCAUUUGCAGUGAUGUGGAUGGAAUAGAAGGUAUUCUGCCAAGUCAAUUCAGAGAAAGAUCUGUUAUCAUAUGAAACCAUUCAUAUGUGGAAUUUAAGAAACAAAACAGAGAAUCAUAGGAGAAGAUAGGAAAAAAUAAAAUAAGAUGAAAUCAAAUAGGGAGACAAACCAUAAGAGACUUUUUUAAAAAAAUAUUUUAUUUAUUUACUUGACAGACAGAAAUCACAAAUAGGCAGAGAGGCAGGUAGAGAGUAUCUUUGGGGUAAAUAGCCAGUAGUGCAAUUGUUGGGUCAUAGGGUAGCUCUACUUUCAAUUUUUUGAGGAAUCUCCACACUGUUUUCCAAAGCAGCUUUGUUGUUUCUUGCCUUAUUAAUUUUGGCCAUUCUAACUGGUGUAAGAUGGUAUCUCAAUGUGGUUUUGAUCUGAAUCUCCCUGAUGGCUAAUGAUGAUGAACACUUUUUCAUGUGCACUAUUUUUAACUACUAAACACUACUGGCUGGUUUUAACCACAUCUUACAUGGAACUCAAAAUGAGUAUAAAAUGUAUCUUGCUGGAGGCAAAAAACAAAAAAAAAAAGUGAACAAUUUUUAAAAGCUACAUUAUAUCUGUAAAGGUAGGAAAAAGAUACAACAGAGUCACAUUGCAAAAA